rnacentral:rRNA from 1 species
UACAGAGGUCCCAAGCGUUGUUCGGAUUUAUUGGGCGUAAAGGGUGCGUAGGCGGCGGAGUAAGUUGGGUGUGAAAUCCCGGGGCUCAACCUCGGGUCUGCAGUCGAUACGGGCGGACUGGAGUACUGCAGGGGAGACUGGAAUUCCUGGUGUAGCGGUGAAAUGCGCAGAUAUCAGGAGGAACACCGGUGGCGAAGGCGGGUCUCUGGGCAGUUACUGACGCUGAGGAGCGAAAGCGUGGGGAGCGAACAGG